rnacentral:rRNA from 1 species
AGUUUGAUCCUGGCUCAGAACGAACGCUGGCGGCAGGCUUAACACAUGCAAGUCGAACGCCCCGCAAGGGGAGUGGCAGACGGGUGAGUAACGCGUGGGAACAUACCCUUUUCUACGGAAUAGCUCUGGGAAACUGGAAUUAAUACCGUAUACGCCCUACGGGGAAAGAUUUAUCGGGGAAGGAUUGGCCCGCGUUGGAUUAGCUAGUUGGUGGGGUAAAGGCCUACCAAGGCGACGAUCCAUAGCUGGUCUGAGAGGAUGAUCAGCCACAUUGGGACUGAGACACGGCCCAAACUCCUACGGGAGGCAGCAGUGGGGAAUAUUGGACAAUGGGCGCAAGCCUGAUCCAGCCAUGCCGCGUGAGUGAUGAAGGCCUUAGGGUUGUAAAGCUCUUUCACCGAUGAAGAUAAUGACGGUAGUCGGAGAAGAAGCCCCGGCUAACUUCGUGCCAGCAGCCGCGGUAA